ACUCAAAUGAAUUGACGGGGACCCGCACAAGCGGUGGAGCGUGCUGUUUAAUACGAAGGUAAGCGUAGAACCUUACCAGGGUUUGACAUCUUGGGAAUCUUUGUGAAAGCAGAGAGUGCCUUUUGGAACCCAAUGACAGGUGUUGCAUGGCCGUCGUCAGCUCGUGUCGUGAGAUGUUUGGUUAAGUCCAUUAACGAGCGCAACCCUUGUGAUUAGUUGAAUUUUUCUAAUCAGACUGCCCCGGCAACGGGGAGGAAGGAGGGGAUGAUGUCAGGUCGGUAUUACCCUUACACCCUGGGCUACAAGCACGCUACAAUGGCCGGUACAGAGGGCAGCUAAGUCGCGAGACGGAGCAAAUCCCAUCAAAGCCGGUCUCAGUUCGGAUUGCAGGCUGAAACUCGCCUGCAUGAAGCUGGAAUCGCUAGUAACGGCAGGGCAGCCUUACUGCCGUGAAUACGUUCCCGGGUCUUGUACACACCGCCCGU
rnacentral:rRNA from 1 species